UUGAAACACCGUUUCCUGUAAGAUCACCGAAGUUAAGCAAUGUUGAGCUUGGUUAGUACCUGAAUGGGUGACCACUUGGGAAUAUGAGGUGUUGUAA